GAUGAACGCUGGCGGCAUGCCUAACACAUGCAAGUCGAACGAAGCGGUGUGGAUUGAGACUUCGGUUGAUUGAAACAUUGACUUAGUGGCGGACGGGUGAGUAACGCGUGAGUAAUCUGCCUUAGAGUGGGGGAUAACGCUCCGAAAGGAACGCUAAUACCGCAUAACAUAUUGAGAUCGCAUGAUUUUGAUAUCAAAGAUUUAUUGCUUUAAGAUGAGCUCGCGUAUGAUUAGCUAGUUGGUGAGGUAACGGCUCACCAAGGCGACGAUCAGUAGCCGAACUGAGAGGUUGAUCGGCCACAUUGGGACUGAGACACGGCCCAGACUCCUACGGGAGGCAGCAGUGGGGAAUAUUGGGCAAUGGGGGAAACCCUGACCCAGCAACGCCGCGUGAAGGAAGAAGGCUUUCGGGUUGUAAACUUCUUUUACCAGGGACGAAGGACGUGACGGUACCUGGAGAAAAAGCAACGGCUAACUACGUGCCAGCAGCCGCGGU
rnacentral:rRNA from 1 species